UACGUAGGGUGCGAGCGUUAAUCGGAAUUACUGGGCGUAAAGCGUGCGCAGGCGGUUUCGUAAGCCAGAUGUGAAAUCCCCGGGCUUAACCUGGGAACUGCAUUUUGGACUGCGAGGCUAGAGUACGGCAGAGGGAGGUGGAAUUCCACGUGUAGCAGUGAAAUGCGUAGAUAUGUGGAGGAACACCGAUGGCGAAGGCAGCCUCCUGGGCUAGUACUGACGCUCAUGCACGAAAGCGUGGGGAGCAAACAGG
rnacentral:rRNA from 1 species